rnacentral:tRNA from 1 species
AGGGGCUGUGGCUCAGUGGCAGAUCGUCCGCUUGGCAUGUAGAAGGUCCCAGGUUCUAACCCCAGCACCUCUA